GAUGAAUGCUGGCUGUAUGGAUAAGGCAUGCAAGUCGAACGGACCGCAAGGUCAGUGGCAGACGAGGUAGUAACACGUAGGUACGUACUCCCAAGUCCGGUAUAGCUCGUCGAAAGACGGGGUAAUCACGGAUGGUCCAGCAAGGGUAUAGAUUUAUCGCUUGGGAAGCGGCCUGCGUAGUAUCAGCUAGUUGGUAAGGUAAUGGCUUACCAAGGCUACGGCGCUUAGGGGAGCUGAGAGGCUGACCCCCACCGAUGGGACUGAGACACGGCCCAGACUCCUACGGGAGGCAGCAGUGGGGAAUAUUGGACAAUGGGCGCAAGCCUGAUCCAGCCAUGCCGCGUGAGUGAUGAAGGCCUUAGGGUUGUAAAGCUCUUUCGCCGGUGAAGAUAAUGACGGUAACCGGAGAAGAAGCCCCGGCUAACUUCGUGCCAGCAGCCGCCGUAAUAC
rnacentral:rRNA from 1 species